AUCCAAUCAAAACCCUGAAUGAACACGGACGGACCAAUCAAAACCCACCUCUUAGCUCUGUAGCCUGGACACAGAGCUAAGGGCAGGACAUUAGCCUGGACAUUUGAAACCGGCGAUGGCGCCCAAAAGGCGUAAAUGUGUAGACGCCACUGGAAGAGAUCGAAAUGAUGAUAAUGGUGAAAGUCAUCCAAAGGGAGUGAAUUGUGGCAAAGAGGACAGCAGAAUCUAGUGCCAUGCCAGGAGAGGCAGAGACCCCCAGAGCAGCAGCGAUAGGGACAGUAGAAGAGACACCCAGGGCCAGGGCA